AACGCACAUUGCGCUCUUUGGUAUUCCGAAGAGCACGCCUGUUUGAGUAUCGAAAAAACCAUCACGACUUGGUCUUGGAGUUCGCUCCGAUCGACUUUGAGACGUGGAUUUGGAUUGUCCUGCUUCUAACGAAGUUCAGGCAGUCUUAAAAAAGAGCGUUGGAAGCUGGAUCUCCUCUACUGGGAUCGCUGCCCGAAAAUGUAUGAAUUGAGAUCCUGACUUUGGUUGGGAAUUCUUCAUUUUUUCUUUCUUGCAGUUCUGAGCCUAGUGGAGAACCGGUCGACCGAUUGAACCCACUACCACACGAGGGGUCGAGAGCGCUAUGCUCACGAUUCGUCGAAUACUUGGUCUCAAAUCAGGCGGGAAAACCCGCUGAACUUAA
rnacentral:misc_RNA from 1 species